UUUGGUAAUUAAAAUUAUAGAUUAAUUAUAUAAGUUGGAUUGAAUAAAAUUAAAUAAUUAAAUUAAAUUAAAGAGAAAGUAAUGUAGAUGAAUGUAUUAAAAUAAAUAAAAGGAAAUUUAAAUUGUUGUACCUUUUGUAUCAGGGAUUGUUAAAUUAAGGAUUUUAGAUAUGAAAGUUUUUUUGAAAUUAAAAGAGCGAAUAAAUUAUUUUAGUUAAUGUGGAAUUAUUAUUAAGAAUAAUUUAUUAGAGAAUAUAUUUUAGUCAAUUUUAAUGAUAUCAAGUUUUUUUUUAUUAAAUUUAAUUUAUAAUUAAUUAUUUAUAUUAUUUAUAUAAUGAUAAUAAUUUUUAUGUAGAUAUAGUUAAUAUAAUAGAUUAGUUAAGUAAGUUAUGGGAUAAACUAUAAUUUAAAUUUUAAAAAAUUAAGGGUAAGAAUAUAGUGUAUAAAAAUUAUAAUAAUAUUAGUAAUAAUUUAAUUUUAUAGAAAAAGUUUAAUAAUUUAUAUUAUAUUUAAUAAGGUAAAUUUUAAGUUGAAAGAUUUAGGGGAUUAUUUUUAAUAGUUUAAAAAAAUAUUUAUUUUAAUUGAUUAUAUGAAUUAAUAAUGAUAGUAUUAGUAGAAUAAUAAAAAAUAUUUUUGGUGGUUUUAAAUGUAUGGGUAAAUUAUAAUAAGGAAUUAGGCAAAAUUUUUAAAUUCACUUGUUUAAUAAAAACAUGGUUUUUUGAUAAUAAUUUAAGAUUGGUCCUGCUCAAUGAAAAUAGUUUUAAAUAGCUGCAGUAAUAUGACUGUACUAAGGUAGCAUAAUCAAUUGUUUUUUAAAUGAAAACUGGGAUGAAGGGAUUGAUGAAAUUUAAACUUUUUAAUUGUAAAUUUUUGAAUUUAUUAAUUAAGUAAGAAUACUUAGAUGAGAUUAUGGGACGAGAAGACCCUAUAGAAUUUUAUAUAUAAUUUUAUAGAUAUAUUGCUGUAAUGAUAUAGAGUUAUAUAUUUUGUUGGGAGGAUGGUUAAAUAUAUAAAACUUUAAUUAAAAUUUUAAAUAUAAAUUAGUAAAUUUUAGAGUGGUUGAUAAAUUAAUAAAAAAUUAAUUACCUUAGGGAUAACAGCGUAAUAUUUUUAGAGAGUUCAUAUUAAUAAAAGUGUUUGCGACCUCGAUGUUGAAUUAAGAAAAAAAUUAAGCGGAGAAGUUUAAUAUUUAAGUCUGUUCGACUUUUAAAAUCUUACAUGAUUUGAGUUUAAAUCGGCGUGAGCCAGAUUGGUUUCUAUCUAUAGUAAAUAUUGGAAUAUUUGUACGAAAGGACUGUAUUCGAAAAUUAAAUUUUAGGUAAAAAUUAAUUAUA
rnacentral:rRNA from 1 species